rnacentral:rRNA from 1 species
GCUCGUGGUGACAGCGGAGGGAUCAUUAAAGAGUUAUUACAACUCCCAAACCCAUGUGAACCUACCUUUGUUGCCUCGGCGGGUCCGCAGCUUACCCUGUGAGACCCUACCCUGUAGGGACCUUACCCUGUAGUUGCAGGUAAAACCUGCCGGUGGUCUACUAAACUCUGUUUACUAUGUUAUUCUGAAUACUAUAACUAAAUAAGUUAAAACUUUCAACAACGGAUCUCUUGGUUCUGGCAUCGAUGAAGAACGCAGCGAAAUGCGAUAAGUAAUGUGAAUUGCAGAAUUCAGUGAAUCAUCGAAUCUUUGAACGCACAUUGCGCCCAUUAGUAUUCUAGUGGGCAUGCCUGUUCGAGCGUCAUUUCAACCCUUAAGCCCCUGUUGCUUAGCGUUGGGAGCCUACAGAAAUCCUCUGUAGUUCCUUAAAGCUAGUGGCGGAGUCGGUUUCAUACUCUAGACGUAGUAAAUUUUAUCUCGCCUAUAGAUGAGCCGGUCCCCUGCCGUAAAACCCCCUAAUUUCUAAAGGUUGACCUCGGAUCAGGUAGGAAUACCCGCUGAACUUAAGCAUAUCAAUAAGCGGAGAA